GACACAUAAAUAUGGAUCUCAAUGAGACUUGUAGUGGAUGUUGGUGAUAGUUGAUCCACUGUAGGAGUAGAGUACGCAUCAAGAUGGGAUCUAUCAACCUUAAUAGAGAGGAGUAGUCCUAUAAAAUUUGAGAGGCUAAGUCUGAAAGUCUGUGGCCACAGCAGUGUAAUUGAUAGAAAAAAGUUUUCAUAGAAAUCAUAAUUGAACUUGAGCUGAUCGAAUCUUCAUAUGACUGAUGUUGAGGUUUGAUGAUUUAUCCAUGACCUGCCA
rnacentral:lncRNA from 1 species